AUUAUAAUGUAACAGCUGACAGACAUGUCAGAAUAUUACUUAUUAUUGGUGGGGAAAAACUCUGUCAGGUAAUUGUGCUUUUUUUUGUGAUGACAUCGGGAAAGUGAUUAAAGCAUCCCUGAAUCAAAAUCAUCAUAGAUAGACAGUGAGAGAACCAGAGCUUUUAUUUAUGAAGACGCCUGUAAACCUAAUGGGAUACCUCCUUUGAUGCUUACAAAACGGAUGUAAGGGAAAUACUGCAGCUUUCUGGACUGCAUACCCUGCUCCCUGGAGAGGUUCCACCCACCGGCUGGAAGGAGAGGAAGUGAAUGAAAGGACAGGAGGAGCCCGAACACCAUGUCACUCUGGAAGGGAGACAGCAGCAACCAGGCUGUGCAAGUGAGUGGUGGAAGACGAAGGAUCUCUGAAGCCUCAUCAGUCAUCGGGACCAUCAGGAAUAGUGGUUUAAGAGGACGCUCGGCCUGGGGCACUAUACCCUGUCAUCGAGUUCCCUGCCUCGGAGAUAAAGAUUCCAGCUACAUGGGUAAACGCCUGGAUCAGCCACAAAUGUACCCCCAGUACACUUAC